UACAGAGGUCCCAAGCGUUGUUCGGAUUCAUUGGGCGUAAAGGGUGCGUAGGUGGCGCCGUAAGUCAGGUGUGAAAUCUCGGGGCUUAACUCCGAAACUGCAUUUGAUACUGCGGUGCUUGAGGACUGGAGAGGAGACUGGAAUUUACGGUGUAGCAGUGAAAUGCGUAGAGAUCGUAAGGAAGACCAGUGGCGAAGGCGGGUCUCUGGACAGUUCCUGACACUGAGACACGAAGGCCAGGGGAGCAAACGGG
rnacentral:rRNA from 1 species